AAUAAAAUAAAAUAAAAUAAAAAACUGAAUAAAGUGAAACUUUGAAGCUGAAGAUUUACCAACUAGUGCUCAGAAUAGGAGAACAAGAAAUGACAAUGUUAAGAAAGGAGAUAAACUGCCAUACAAUUUACAGUCAUAUAAGUUCAAAAGGUAAAUCUGACGAAUUCAUAAUGAAGAGGCUUAAUGCCAAAAUCAUUUAUUGAACAAGAAAACUUCCAAUUUAACUAAAACAAAUACCUGUAUAUGAUAUCCAAAUAACAUAAUGCACCAAAUAAGACCCAAACUAAAACAUCUUAUGAGGUAAAGUGAUCAUGACAUGUUACUCGAUCAAAAUUCAAAACCUGGCAAACAAGACAUUAGAUGCUUUCAACUUUCAAGUCUUUAAGGCUGGCAUUACAUAUGAAAUGCAUUGUCAAUUACCACAUGCAAGUCAAGCCAGUCAUCACAUAUGUUCAUUAAAGAAAGAUAGCAAGAUUAACAAAAUUAGAAAAAUUUAAAUUCAAUGAGACUCUAAUUCAAUUAAACUUAGGCACACUGUUGUCAUUUAACGAUAAUCAAAAUAAAUACAUACGCAGAUAGCAAUAUGGAUAAAAUAAAAUUGCAGGAUUUAGCAUAUAAGAAUGCUAUCUAAGGUUUUAGUCAUAACAGCUUCCACUUAUCCACUAAUUCAUUUUCUUUCGUAGUUUCCACUCUAUUCCAUAAUAACUAAUCUUAAAUUUCAUCCACCAUUUUUUCAAAAGAAGCCUAUUAAAUACGUUAACAAGCCUAUAUGAAUUGUUAAUACAUAUUUGAGAGCCAUAUGCUGCAACAUAUUGGCUCAACUUCAAUUUCAGUAGAAUACCAGCUUAUUACAUUUCCCUGGAAAUUCAUGCUAAUGGGAUUUCUCACAUUUCAAAAUUCCCCCAACAGUUACAACCUUUUGAAGAGCUCAAACCCAUUUAGCAGAGAAACGUAGUACUUAGGUUCUAUAGUCAUCUGCCAUCAAACUUCAAAGAUAAAAAUAAGAGAAGCUGCCCCAAUCCACAGCAGGAAAACUCAAAGAGACAAGAUUGCUCUGCAUUUGCAGCUGAACUUAAAAGCACUUUUCUAAAAUAAUGACACUGACAUACUCACCUUUUAGGUAAAAAACUAGUAGCCAUUCGUUUUUCCUUUUCUUUAUUUGUUUUGAGGAACAGAAGAAAAAAAAAGGAAAGAAAAAAAGAAGGCAGCAGCUCCAAAUAAAAGCAGCACUACUAGCGCCUAGUAUCCAUUCAAAGCAUUGAAAGUUUCUCUAAAUCCCAGCAUCCAAGCAACCCAAUCACAAAAACAGGUUUGGAAGAUUUUUCACUGCAUGUCAGUUACUGCCUAAAAUUCAGAUCCAACAUCACCCCACUUAUCAAACUUCCAGGCAUUUUAACAAAACCCAUUACAAAUUUGAUAGUCACUAAAUCCAAAACAAACCCACAUCAAGCAUUCACUAGAUUGCUUGAAAUCAGCAUUCAAAAUGAAAAUUCGACAAAACCCUAACACACAUCAAAAUCAACUGAAAAAACAAGAACAAAUAAACUAAUACUAGGCUGGAUCGUAAUUUCUUCGAAAUGAAGACCCAAUUUCUCACCUCAGAAAAGAAAAGUAUCCUCUUCUCAUGACGUCAAAAAACCUUAAAAAAAAAAAAAAAAAAAAA
rnacentral:misc_RNA from 1 species